GCGUAGCGUGCAGUUGUUAGGGUCAGGCUUUCCGUGUCUCCGUGCGCUCCGCGAUCGCCGCGACCUCUAUCGUAUCCUCCCGCAACUACGACCUGAAGUUUUGCUUUGCUCGGAACUCGGAUAUAUAAAAGAUAGUGAAGUGAGCCAUUGUGGAAUAUCGGCGAUUCCUGAGUGCGUCGCGGGGGAAGUCGCCUUCGUCGUUCGAUAAGGCCCUCCGAUAAGUGGGCCUUGAAAAAAAGCGGCGACGCGAAAACAGAGCAUCGGUUUGAUUUGUGCGCGAAAGCUUUCGCGUUUUUGACCAAAACGUGUCGAAGAUUGUGAUAGCUGAACCGGGAUGUCGCCGUGUAUCACGAACGAAGGAAAAAAUAACGCGAGUGCAAGUGUUUCAAAGCUUUUUCUACGAAGAGGAGGUCCGGAGUGGCAUCAACGGUGGAACAAUUAUGGGAACAAGAAGGAAUGAAGGAAAUGGAAAGGAAGAGAGAAGACUCGGGAUAACAUCGGGCAACGGCGGAGUAGCUAUAUGUUUACUACUCCGCUGCUGCGCAUCGUAUCGGUGAGUCUCUCAUCAAUUUUUACUUAAAUUUUGGGUAAU